rnacentral:lncRNA from 1 species
CCCGCCCCGCCCCGCGCGUCAGUCAGCGCCGGCACGGCCCCGGCGGGGCUGGGCUCGGCAGCGGCCGGGGGAGGGCCCUGAGUAAACGGCGUGGGUGUGCGCGUGGCUGGGCCUCGGCCUCUGUCUGCGCCGCCGGAUUCCGGCCGUUAGCAAGGGCUGGGUCGACGUUAGCGCGUUAAAAACUGCCGGUUGUCCUGGGCUGAGCUCCGGAAGUUCAGGUCUCCUCAGUCCGGCUGGUCAGAUCUGCACAGAACUGAGCGUCGACGCGGCUCAUAGGUGUCAUCAGCCUCCCUGUUGGUGAUGCAAAGUUCGUAUAACCACUUCCUUGUCAAGGGUCAGGAUUACUCCAUCCCUCCUUCUCUGAAAAUGUUUAGAAACCACACCUGCUCCAGAGGAUCAAAAGAGGUUUGGAGGACAGACCAUCUGUAUGACAGAGGCAAGGUGAGGUUUCCUAUGAAAAUGAAACCUGGAAAACUUGAAGAGCACAGGACUUACUCCUGCUUGAAUUCAAGUCUCCCGAGAGAUUUCUUGGAUCCAUCUGUACGCACGUGA